AGCGAACGCUGGCGGCAGGCCUAAACAUGCAAGUCGAACGGAUCCUUCGGGAUUAGUGGCGGACGGGUGAGUAACACGUGGGAACGUGCCUUUUGGUUCGGAACAACUCAGGGAAACUUGAGCUAAUACCGAAUGUGCCCUUCGGGGGGAAAGAUUUAUCGCCAUUAGAGCGGCCCGCGUCUGAUUAGCUUGUUGGUGAGGUAAAGGCUCACCAAGGCGACGAUCAGUAGCUGGUCUGAGAGGAUGAUCAGCCACACUGGGACUGAGACACGGCCCAGACUCCUACGGGAGGCAGCAGUUAGGAAUCUUGCGCAAUGGGGGAAACCCUGACGCAGCCAUGCCGCGUGAAUGAUGAAGGUCUUAGGAUUGUAAAAUUCUUUCAGCGGGGACGAUAAUGACGGUACCCGCAGAAGAAGCCCCGGCUAACUUCGUG
rnacentral:rRNA from 1 species